GACGAACGCUGGCGGCGUGCCUAACACAUGCAAGUCGAGCGGAGUCGAUCGACGGAAGCCUUCGGGCGGAAGAUGGUUGACUUAGCGGCGGAUGGGUGAGUAACGCGUGGGCAACCUGCCUCGAAGACCGGGAUAACAGUCCGAAAGGGCUGCUAAUACCGGAUGUGGUCAAGGAUCCGCAUGGAUUUUUGAUUAAAGGGGAAACCCGUUUCGAGAUGGGCCCGCGUCCUAUCAGCUAGUUGGUGAGGUAAAAGCUCACCAAGGCGACGACGGGUAGCCGGCCUGAGAGGGUGACCGGCCACACUGGAACCGAGACACGGUCCAGACUCCUACGGGGGGCAGCAGUGGGGAAUCUUCCACAAUGGGCGAAAGCCUGAUGGAGCGACGCCGCGUGAGCGAAGAAGGCCUUCGGGUUGUAAGCUCUGUCUGGAGGGACGAAGGAAGUGACGGUACCUCCGGAGGAGCCACGGCUAACUACGUG
rnacentral:rRNA from 1 species